rnacentral:rRNA from 1 species
CCUACGGGAGGCAGCAGUGAGGAAUAUUGGUCAAUGGACGAGAGUCUGAACCAGCCAAGUAGCGUGAAGGAUGACUGCCCUAUGGGUUGUAAACUUCUUUUAUAUGGGAAUAAAAUGUUCCACGUGUGGGAUUUUGUAUGUACCAUAUGAAUACGGAUCGGCUAACUCCGUGCCAGCAGCCGCGGUAAUACGGAGGAUCCGAGCGUUAUCCGGAUUUAUUGGGUUUAAAGGGAGCGUAGGUGGAUUGUUAAGUCAGUUGUGAAAGUUUGCGGCUCAACCGUAAAAUUGCAGUUGAAACUGGCAGUCUUGAGUACAGUAGAGGUGGGCGGAAUUCGUGGUGUAGCGGUGAAAUGCUUAGAUAUCACGAAGAACUCCGAUUGCGAAGGCAGUUCACUGGACUGCAACUGACACUGAUGCUCGAAAGUGUGGGUAUCAAACAGGAUUAGAUACCCUUGUAGUC